ACGAACGCUGGCGGCGUGCUUAACACAUGCAAGUCGCACGCUGAAGCUCAGCUUUUGUUGGGUGGAUGAGUGGCGAACGGGUGAGUAACACGUGAGUAACCUGCCUCCUUCUUUGGGAUAACGCCCGGAAACGGGUGCUAAUACUGGAUAUUCACUGGUCUUCGCAUGGGGGUUGGUGGAAAGGGUUUUUCUGGUGGGGGAUGGGCUCGCGGCCUAUCAGCUUGUUGGUGGGGUGAUGGCCUACCAAGGCUUUGACGGGUAGCCGGCCUGAGAGGGUGACCGGUCACAUUGGGACUGAGAUACGGCCCAGACUCCUACGGGAGGCAGCAGUGGGGAAUAUUGCACAAUGGGCGCAAGCCUGAUGCAGCGACGCCGCGUGAGGGAUGGAGGCCUUCGGGUUGUGAACCUCUUUCGCUCAUGGUCAAGCCGCAACAAUGGUUGUGGUGAGGGUAGUGGGUAAAGAAGCGCCGGCUAACUACGUG
rnacentral:rRNA from 1 species